rnacentral:rRNA from 1 species
GCUACACAUGCAGUCGAACGGUAAGGCCUUCGGGUACACGAGUGGCGAACGGGUGAGUAACACGUGGGUGAUCUGCCCUGCACUUCGGGAUAAGCCCGGGAAACUGGGUCUAAUACCGGAUAUGACCACAGCAUGCAUGUGUUGUGGUGGAAAGCUUUUGCGGUGUGGGAUGGGCCCGCGGCCUAUCAGCUUGUUGGUGGGGUAAUGGCCUACCAAGGCGACGACGGGUAGCCGGCCUGAGAGGGCGACCGGCCACACUGGGACUGAGACACGGCCCAGACUCCUACGGGAGGCAGCAGUGGGGAAUAUUGCACAAUGGGCGCAAGCCUGAUGCAGCGACGCCGCGUGAGGGAUGACGGCCUUCGGGUUGUAAACCUCUUUCAGCAGGGACGAAGCGCAAGUGACGGUACCUGCAGAAGAAGCACCGGCCAACUACGUGCCAGCAGCCGCGGUAAUACGUAGGGUGCAAGCGUUGUCCGGAAUUACUGGGCGUAAAGAGCUCGUAGGCGGUUUGUCGCGUCGUCUGUGAAAACCAGCAGCUCAACUGUUGGCUUGCAGGCGAUACGGGCAGACUUGAGUAUUUCAGGGGAGACUGGAAUUCCUGGUGUAGCGGUGAAAUGCGCAGAUAUCAGGAGGAACACCGGUGGCGAAGGCGGGUCUCUGGGAAAUAAC